CUUCAACGAGGAAUGCCUAGUAAGCGCGAGUCAUCAUCUCGCGUUGAUUACGUCCCUGCCCUUUGUACACACCGCCCGUCGCUCCUACCGAUUGAACGUGCUGGUGAAGCGUUAGGACUGGAGCUCUGGGCCGGUUCUCCUGCCCAUUGCUUCGGGAAUUUCGUUGAACCCUCCCGUUUAGAGGAAGGAGAAGUCGUAACAAGGUCUCCGUAGGUGAACCUGCGGAGGGAUCAUUGAAACCGAUCAAACCAACCACAGAGCACCUGCGGGCGCUCCCCGUCGCCGGGCGCCAGCCCGGGGACCCGGGGGGGCCCGCCGUUUUUCUCGGAUCCGCCGGCGCCCCCCUUCGCGGGGGGGGGCCGGUUCGGACCCCAAACCCAUUGAACCCUCUGCCCUGAAGCAGCUUCGCACGGGGACACCCCUGCGACGUUAACUGAGACAACUCUCAACAACGGAUAUCUUGGCUCUCGCAACGAUGAAGAACGCAGCGAAAUGCGAUACGUAGUGUGAAUUGCAGAAUUCCGUGAGUCAUCGAAUCUUUGAACGCACAUUGCCGGUCGACUCUUCGGAGGAGACCACAUCUGCCUCAGCGUCGGGAUACCCCCUCACGCGCCUGCGCGUGGAACUGGCCCCCCCGGUCUCCCCAGGCCGGGCCGGCUGAAAUGCAGAGGUCCGUGCGCGGCCCACAUGUGGCCCCGACUAGGUAGGUAGCUCGCUACUUCUAGGCGGCGGCUCGGUGCCGCGGACUCUGGGCCGCAAAGGAUACCC
rnacentral:rRNA from 1 species